AAGAGUUGCUGCACGUGUACAAAUCACCACUGAAUGGAUUCCGUCUAUUGCCCGUCAAUCUAGCCGCUGUCGAUGUUUAAUUCUUUGUGCCAUGUGUCUGUGGAAGGUAAUAAAAGCUUUGAGCAGCAGUUGCACAAUAAAGAUUUGUCAUGGGGAUAUCACCUCUGUCUUGCGCGUCUUACUGAGGGGAAGUAGUUCUGCAAGUUCAAAUGUUGUCUCCUGGGAAUGCAAGCAUGUGAAAUGUUUCAGCCUGUUAACAGCAUUUCAUUGAUAGUGAUUUGCCUGUUCAUUUGAAGUGUGUUGCUGGUGUUGCUGGGAGCACGCUUAGCAGUCUCCUGCGUCUAGUAGGAAGCAGUCUUAGCUCUUUGGCAGUUUUGGCAGUAGGUUUUACCUUUCAUCCUACGUUGCCAAAAAUUUCCUUCAAACUGGAGAGAGCCAGUGGUUAUGAAACUGUGUUUCACUGGAGAAUUGUAUAAUCCUAGAGCAGCCCAGGUUUGAAGGGACCUCAAAAGAUCAUCUGGUUGAGCCUUUUGUUGAAAAGGGAUCAUAGAUGAGAUUAUCUAACACUCUUUCCAUUAGGAUCUUGAAAACCUUCAGCGAUGGGUGUUGUAAUUCAUUAAUUGGGUUUAUAUUGUGUUUUAUCGGAUUUGUAAUCUGUAUCAUGUAGUUUUUCCUUACUCAUCUGUAACCUAACUCUUCCACUGCCACUUCUCCCUGAUUGGGUGAUGUCUUGUCCCUGUCUCUGGGCCCUGCCCCCUGGGGAAAAAGCCCCCGGACGGGCGGGGCCAGGCUCUUUCUGGCACCGGCAAGCGAUCGGGACGGGCUCCAACCAAGCAGGGCAGGACUCGAGAAUAAAAGCGGUAAUAUCCCACCCGGUGAGGGAGAGCGGAUUCUUUUACAUUUGCCAUCGGCGGCCGUCUAGUCUCGUGGGGAAAUACAACUGGCGCUUACGUGCGGCUCGAAGCCACAAAAGGUUCCCAAAAAGCUGGAAGAACCACUCAGGGAGCACGUGGCCGAGGAAUCCCACGCAGAGACAGACCCGUCAGGCUUGGCGUUCGCUGUGGAGUCUCCGAAACAUAGGAUUCCACGGGCAGGGCUGCAGUUUUCUCCUUUGGACUCAAAAAUCCCAUCAGAGUGCUGUGAAGAAGCCCUCGACCGGCAAGCUGCUCCCAGAGAAAGUGACCACAUGUUUGUGGAAAACUAACCCUGGGAACCGAGACUGGAAGCUCUUUUUGCACCAAAAAGGGUCAGUCUCAAGCAAAAGGAGUGAUUGGGAAAGAAAGGAAAGGAACGCUGGAUUUUCGGUGAGUACCACUUUCGGUUUUUUAAGGGAAAAUCUUUUUAAGGGGCAUUAAACCUCAGAGAAAAGAGUUUCUCCUUUCGCAGAAGGUUUUUGCUUUCAGAGUAAAAACCUUCAAAGUGCUUUCUUUUGGCAGCCUGGGGGUGAGUGAAAAAGGAAACUGUUUCCCCUUUUUGGCUUUUUUUUUCUCUCUCUAGUGAGGGUAUUUUCCUUUCAGUUUCUCAGUCACAGUUAAAAAGGGGACAUAGAAACUUAAAAUCUGAGCCAAAAAUGGGUUCUAGGCUAUCUGUGUCUCAACGAAGAGCCUAUUAUCAGAUUUUAAGUGUCUCAGAUGAUGGGAAAACCCAUUUUUCCGAGAAGCAAUUAAAAAAUUUCCUUCGGUGGUUAUUUGCUCAGUUUCCAGAUGCAUCAUCUGAGCAAAUAAGCUCCCCAGAACGUUGGGAAACUGUUGUUAAAAAAUUGUCUCAAUCAAGCUCCCCUAAUGAUAAAGAAAAAGCAAAUUUUGCUCUUUGGAGCUUGCAGAUUUUAUUUGCAAUGCAAAAACAAAAAGAAAAGAAAAAAACCCCAGUCCCUUGUGGACUUUCCCCAGUCUCCUCAGUUUCUCCCUAUCCUGACCCCAAAAUCCCUUCCCCAAAAUCAAAUAUUCCUUGAGAAACCCCAAAACUUUCCCCAAAACUCCCUUCUUCCCCAGUUUGUAAACCCUGGGUUCGGUUUGCUUUUGCAGGCAGUCCGACUACACAGAACCCCCAUCUUAGUGAAUCCCAAACUAGUCUUAGUUCGGAAGGGGGGGUCACAAGAUGGAGGGGACUCCUUUGUGCCCCAAAAUGGCCAAAACCACGUGCUCUCGACGCAUGAGGAGCCUCUCUCUUUGUUUGUCCCUCCUUCCUGCAAUCCCUUUCUCAAUCCCUUCAUCCCUUCCUCUCCCCAGACCCCCCCUUCCAUUUGGUGCUGCCCCUGGCACUGCCCUCUCCUCUGACUCCCCCCCUCCCCUCAAACCUCUGCCCUCUGACUCCACCCCUUGUGAGUCAAGCCUCCAGCCCCUCCUUGCCUCUGGUUCCCACAGUUUCCCCGCCCACAGUCCCAGUUCCCACGCCCUGGGGAAAAGGGGCGGGGGGGGGGGGGGGGAGAUGGGAACCCAGAAGCAGGAAAUUAUCCCGGCUUUUCUGCCACCCCUGUCACAUACCGACGGUCAAAAAGAGGGGGUGCUGUCCACAGUAACUGGGACCCCUUUCCCCAACAAGUGAUUCAGGAUUUGUGCAAAGCUCAGGUCAAAUUUGGACGUGAAAGUGAAUACUUUCGCAGCCUUUUAAAAGCAAAUUUAGCAGGGAAUCCUAUUGUUCCCUUUGACCUCCAGCAGCUUUUUUCUGCCCUCCUUUCAUCCACACAGUUUAGGCUUUGGGACUCCACAUGGAAAAAAAGAUUAAGAGAUUUACUCCCGGAGCUUUGGCAAAAUCCUGAAACAGCUGUUGAUAAUAAUAAUUUGCCAAUUCGGUUAGAACAUCUAUGUGGUGAUGGUGAAUGGGUCGCAGCACUCAAGCAAGCUCAAGAAAUUCCUUUAGCUGUUUUAGAAUGCAUUAAAGAGGCUGCUUUCAAAGCAUUCUUUUCAAUCCAGCCGACGGGUCCUUCCAACCUUACAGUAAAAUAAAGCAGCUUCCAUCAGAACCUUUUGUAACAUUUGUGGAGCAAUUGACCCGAGCUAUCGAGUUACAGGUUAAGAAUGAAGGAGCCCAAGAACAGGUCCUGGAGGAGAUGGCGCUGACCAAUGCAAACGAACAGUGCAAGGCAGCCAUCCUCAGCCUCCCUAUGGAACCGGCUCCAACCUUAGAUGACAUGCUGCAUGUAUGCACCCAGAAGGUCCCUUUCAUGACAGCACACCUUAAUCACAGUUCCAGAGAUGCAUUCAGACCACCGCAAAGAGCUGCCACAGCAGAUGCCAUGCCCCCUGUGCCUGUGCCACAGCCACCACCCAAGAGAAGAACAACGUGGCUCCUGUGUGAUCAGGCUGGACAUUGGGCAUCUCAAUGCCCUUUAAAGAAGCAAUUUCUGGACUUUCGGGACAAUGGGGGUGGGAGGUCUCAAGAGUUCAAAGGGAAUUUUUCAAAAAACUAAAACGUCAGUGCUUACUUGCCCAGUGUGCCGACAUAAAUAGGGCAAAUCCAAAGAGGGAGGAUAAAAAACUAGAAAAUGCAAAUGUUAAAUUAACUAAUCCUGCUAUAACCAGUUCUGCCUUUCAGCAGAAGUCACCAGAUAUGACCCUUUCAGAUCAUGACAUGACCAGACCCUGUCUAACCACAGAAUGUCUCCAAAAGCCUUUUAGGUUGCAACUGACAGAAUCCUUGCACCUAAGUGACACAGACUGGCAUUUAGGUUCAUUGGAUCUACAAGUGCUAGGCUCCUGGCAACACGUUGGCAGUAAGUAUGUCAUCCUUGGGACACCAAGCACACACCGAGAGAGGUCAAGAUCCUUCCGGGUCUCGUCUCAUCAAACCCUAAACAACUAGUUCUCUGGCUGCUCUGUGUCUGCCCACCUUUGUUUCUGUCUGAGGGGCAGAUAAUAGCUCAAGCAAUUCCAGCAUCUAACCCGUUCCCUGAAAAAAACAGCACAAGGAACAAACACAUUGAUGUUUGCCCCACACGAGUUAUUGGGGACAAACUCAUAAUAGGGUGUGAGGUCCAUCACGGUGGGGAAGUAGUAAACCUCAAAGGGGUUUUGGACACAGGCGUGGCGGAUGUAACGAUUGUACCAGAAAGGAUGUGGCCCUCGCAUUGGGAACUGCAAAAUGUGGCUGGGCAUAUAGAAGGUAUAGGGGGAAUGAAAUGGGCAAAACAAUCAAAAAGUGUUGUGCAAAUUAAGGGGCCAAAGGGACAAUUGGCUACACCUUGCUUCCAUUUGUUUUAGAUUAUUCAGAGCCCUUGUGGGGGAGAGACCUGAUGGCCCAGUGGGGGGUCACGAUUGGCAUUCCAGAUGCCCCCCUGGUUUUUCAGGCUUCAGCCACUGAAGAGCACCCUACCCAGAAACUCAAUUGGGAAACUGAUUCACCAGUCUGGGUAGAGCAGUGGCCACUCAGUAAAGAGAAAUUGAAGGCGCUUCAGGAGCUAGUGGAUGAACAGCUAGCUAAAGGCCACAUUGUGGAAACCACGUCUCCGUGGAAUUCCCCAGUCUUUGUUAUCAAAAAGGCAAACAAAGGCAAGUGGCAGCACCUCCACGAUCUCUGUCAAAUUAAUAAUGCCAUUGAGGACAUGGGUUCUCUCCAGCCAGGGAUGACAUCCCCAGCGAUGGUCCCCCAAAAUUGGAAUUUGGCAAUUAUUGAUAUCAAAGAUUGUUUUUUCCAGAUCCCUCUGCACCCUGACGAUGCACCACAUUUCACCUUCUCGGUCCCUACCCUCAACUGAGAAGCCCCGAGGAAAAGAUACCACUGCAAAUUUCUUUCCCAAGGGAUGAAAAACUCGCCAUCUAUUUGUCACAGGGUUGAGCUUCAGGAGGAAAAGAUUCAAAGGAUGCCACCUUGGAAGUACCUGGGUCUGGAGAUUGGUACUCAAGGUCCCAACUCUGAGCAUCUCCCACGAACUGAGCCUUCCUCCUUCUUAAUUUAAUAAGAAAAGGGGAAAUGUUGUAAUGCAUUAAUUGAGUUUAUAUUGUGUUUUAUUGGAUUUGUAAUCUGUAUCAUGUAGUUUUUCCUUACUCAUCUGUAACCUAACUCUUCCACUGCCACUUCUCCGUGAUUGGGUGAUGUCUUGUCCCUGUCUCUGGGCCCUGCCCCCUGGGGAAAAAGCCCCCGGACGGGCGGAGCCAGGCUCUUUCUGGCACCGGCGAGUGAUCGGGACGGGCUCCGACCAAGCAGGGCAGGACUCGAGAAUAAAAGUGGUAAUAUCCCACCCGGUGAGGGAGAGCGGACUCUUUUACUUUUGCCAUCGGCGGCUGUCUAGUCUUGUGGGGAAAUACAACAGAUGGGGACUGGUGCAACCUCUGCCCACUGUUCCUUGUCUUCUCCAUGUGGCUCUGUGUGAAGAGAGAGUCUCCAUACUCUGUAGCUUCCGUUUAAGUACUGGAAUACUGUGAUGAGGUUCCCCCUGAGCCUAGACAAGUUCCUAACAUUUUGCAACUAAUUCCUUUGUCUAUGCUAGUCUUAUGCGGCCUCUCACUGCUUUCAGAUGUUCCUCUACAGCUUUCCAAUUGUGCCAGUUCUCUCAAGCACAGUUAUCUGACAACAUAGGACUUGGACUUAUUCCCUGCUUCUGAAAGUAGUCAGUGUUAUUGCUUGCCAUCCUGCUGACUAAACCAAUUUUUUGCGAAUAAGUGUUUUAGGUCGCUUAAAAAAUCACAAAUGUGUUGGCAAAAGCAGGUUUAAUAUUAAAGUGAAAACACAACAAAGUUCGUUGGCGAAGUUUACUGUGCUACUUACCAGAUGGUUAAAGCACUCAGAGAAAAGGCAAAUGAAAAUCUAAAAUCAAUCAAUCUAAAACUAAAAUCAACUCAAAAACUGUCUAUGUUGAGGCUGGGUGGGGUGGAAGGAUAUGGAUAAAAAGGAAUAAGGAAGACCCGUCGGUUGAGUCGUCUCCAUGUUGCUCCUUAUGAAGAAGAGUGCCUCUGUCCUCUUUGUAUCUGCCUUUUGAGAGCCAGAAUACUGUCAUGAUGUUUCUCCUGAGCCAUCUCUUUUCUAAGGGAGAAAGGACCCAACUCCUUCAGCCUUUCCUCACAUUCUCCAGCCUUUUGAUCAUCUUUCUUGCCCUCCUUGGGACCUUCUCUUAUCUGUCUGCAUCUUUUGUUGAAUUCCAGAACUGGACACAGCACUUCAGGUUCUGCCUGCAGGCAUGGCCUCUGAGAAGAGGCCAGGGUCUGCUCAAUGCUGGACAUAGCUAGUUUCUGCCAGCUAGGCACCAGACUCCUCAAGGGCCAAAGCUGAGCAACUCAGUAAAGCUGGUGGCACCCCUGUGUAAGCAUAUUUAAGAAAAAGCAAAAUGCUGUCUGGGGCAGGUACUUCCCUGCUGCCCUUGGAUCUGGCAGGUGGCUAUGUCCUGAAGUAAUUUUUUUCACCCUAUUUUCUCCCCCUGUCCUGUUGAGGAGGGACGGUGAGAAAACAGCUGGUUGAGCCCCUGGCAGCCAGUCAAGAUCUGGCAUCAGAAAGCCUAAAAAGCAGGUUCGUCCAUGUAGAAGUAGAAGGGGGGUUGGUGGUUUAGGGACUGAUAGUGACCAGGGUAGGAACAGAACGUUUUGGAAGUAGCAAAUUCCAUCAAUAUCUGUGGAUCCAGUCACUUUGAGAGGGGGAAAUUUCAAUGGAAAAAGCCUUCUUAGCAAUAAGAUCCUUCUUGUAAGAAGGAUCUAGUCUACAUUUUUUUCACUUGGUAAUACAAAUGGCAAAGAUCUGGAACUCCUGCAUUGAAAGGGAUGCCACUGAGCAGAGCCUGUUGGGUGCUCUGUGUGUGUGUGUUGGAUACCCAGGACCAGCUAUAAAGAGGUCAUGGAGGAGAUGUGAGGUUGGUCUGGCUAAACUUGAUUAAGACAGGAUCUUACAGAAGGCAAUGCCUUGAGGCUGUGAAGGGUAAAAGGAUAAGUCAGGCUGAUGAUGUUCCCGACCCUUUUGUUUGGAAGGAUUGGGACUGAAUGUUGAUUUGCGUGAAGGGCAGGUACCAAUCUGUCUUCUAUAAUUGCAAUUUCAGCAGCAAGGGACACCCAAAGCUGAGUAUCAGGCCCCAAUAAUGCUUUAUUGGGUGUGGCUGAGAUGAAGUUCAUUUCCCCACAGUAGCUCUCACAGUGCUGUGCUUUGCAUUGGUAGCUAGAAAGGUGUUGAUAACACACCAGUGUUUUGACUGCUGCUGAGCAGCAUUAGCACAGCAUCAGCACUGUCUCUCUAAUGAUUCCACCCAAUCAUCAGUAGGCUGGGGCUGGCAUGAUCUUGGGAGGAGAUGCAACCAAGACAGCUGACCCAAAUUGGCCCAAGGGAUUUUUCAUACUGUAUGACAUCAGCUGAGAUAUAAAAGCUAAGUAAAGGAGGAGGAAGGGGAGGAAUUUGUUAUUUACAAUGUUUGCCUUCUGUAGCAUCUGCUAUGCUUGCUGAAAGAAGCCCUGCUUCCCAGCAAGUGGCCAAACAGCACUUGCUGAUGGUGUUAGGAAAAUUAAUCCACAAACACCAGAGGUUUAUGUCCAAAAAGGAGACAGAGGAGUCCUUUUACUUUAUUCGAAUAAAGGGAGAGGCCAUGGGGCAUUUCCCCUGGGGUCUCUCAGAUUUUUGGAGGAUGCAGCCUCCUUUUUAUCCUAAUUUCCCAGCCACAUUUCCCUCUCUCUUUCCCCAUUGGCUGAGGUACUUGAGAGGUACAGACUUCCCAAAACACCCAAGACCUAAGAUUCCCCUUUUAAUGUAUAACCCCCCCAAUUUUUAAUUUUUAUGGGAUUUAUGGGUUUUUCCCCAUUGUUGCUUUCAUCUUUCAAUAUCCAAUUUCAUUUAUAAACAAACCUAUGGUUUGUUUGUAAAGGCAAGUAUCUUCUUUUCCAUUCAUCAAUCAGUAGAAUCCUUCCCAUUGUUUCUCUUAUCUCUCAGUGCUAGUUUUAUCUACCAGCAGACUCAGGGCUUGUUUGUAAAGACAAAUCUUGUCAUUCCUCUCAAUCCUUCCUCUUUUAUUUUUAAUAAUUGUCUUUACAAAUUUUAGUUAUCAUUGACUUAAUUUUCUGUUAUUGGGUCUUUUUUGGUUUUGCAAUUAUUUGCAGUGACAUCAGUUUCUGUCCUUUUGUAGCCAUCUCUGGAUCAGUAGGCAUGGCUACUACCUGCAUCCCUUUGAUCACAUGUUGAAUAAGUUGUACUAAGCAGGGGAUCAUGCAUGGUAGAAAGAUAAGAGUUGCUACAACACAUAAGAGGAAAGAAAAACAUUUGUUUAACUCAUAGUUCACUGGGUAACUAUGAAAACAUCUCCUAUUCUAUCUUUUUUUAUGUUUGGACUGGCACUUGAGCUAACUUAUU